UACGGGGGGAGCAAGCGUUGUUCGGAUUUACUGGGCGUAAAGGGCGCGUAGGCGGUCAGCACAAGUCAGUUGUGAGAUCUCCGGGCUUAACUCGGAAAGGUCAACUGAUACUGUGCGACUAGAGUGCAGAAGGGGCAACUGGAAUUCUCGGUGUAGCGGUGAAAUGCGUAGAUAUCGAGAGGAACACCUGCGGCGAAGGCGGGUUGCUGGGCUGACACUGACGCUGAUGCGCGAAAGCCAGGGGAGCGAACGGG
rnacentral:rRNA from 1 species